CUCCGACGCCAGCGCCGCCUCUCGUUCGCCGAGCUCCAGCCGAAGGAGAAGGAGGGGUUGAGGCCGCUCCGCCAUGGCUCGCACCAAGCAGACCGCCCGCAAGUCCACCGGGGGGCCAGGCGCCCAGGAAGCAGCUGGCGAUCAAGGCCUCGCGCAAGAGCGCGCCCUCCACUGGAGGGGUGAAGAAACUGCACCGCUACAGGCCUGGUGCUGUGGCGCUCCGUGAAAUGAGACGCUACCAGAAGUGCACAGAACUUCUGAUUCGCAAGCUCCCUUCCCAGCGUCUGGUGCGAGACAUUGCUCAGGACUUCAAAACAGACCUGCGCUUCCAGAGCGCAGCAGUGGGUGCUUUGCAGGAGGCGAGUGAGGCCUAUCUCGUUGGCCUUUCUGAAGAUACCAAUCUGUGUGCUAUCCAUGCCAAACGUGUGACAAUUAUGCCAAAAGAUAUCCAGCUAGCACGCCACAUACGUGGAGAACGAGCUUAAGAAUCCACUAAAAUGGGAGGCAUUUCAUUGUCAAAGUCCCCCCCCUUUUCUUGUUAUCAGUAGUUCUGAAUGUUAGAUUUUUUUUCCCAUGGGGUCAAAAGGUACCUAAGUAUUGCCAGUGGAAAAAUAGGGGACAGAAAUCAGGUAUUGGCAGUUUUUCCAUUUUCAUUUGUGUGUGAAUUUUUAAUAUAACUGUGGGGAUAUAAAGCAUUAAUGCAAGUCAAAAUGUUUCAGCAGUUCAACUUUAUAACAAUUAUGAAUCUGUUAAAUUUUUCUGGACAAUGCCAGCAUUUGGAUUUUUUUAAAAAUAAGUAAAUUUCUUAUUGAUGGUAA